rnacentral:rRNA from 1 species
CCUACGGGAGGCAGCAGUGGGGAAUAUUGGGCAAUGGGCGCAAGCCUGACCCAGCAACGCCGCGUGAGGGAAGAAGGCUUUCGGGUUGUAAACUUCUUUUCUCAGGGACGAAGAAAGUGACGGUACCUGAGGAAUAAGCCACGGCUAACUACGUGCCAGCAGCCGCGGUAAUACGUAGGUGGCAAGCGUUAUCCGGAUUUAUUGGGUGUAAAGGGCGUGUAGGCGGGAAAGCAAGUCAGAUGUGAAAACUCAGGGCUCAACCCUGAGCCUGCAUUUGAAACUGGUAUUCUUGAGUGCUGGGGAGGCAAUCGGAAUGCCGUGUGUAGCGGUGAAAUGCGUAGAUAUACGGAGGAACACCAGUGGCGAAGGCGGAUUGCUGGACAGUAACUGACGCUGAGGCGCGAAAGCGUGGGGAGCAAACAGGAUUAGAUACCCUGGUAGUC